rnacentral:lncRNA from 1 species
CGCCAAGUAAACACCCACUGUGUCCGCUGGCCCACAGCCAUCCACCUGAGCACCGGGUGUCCGGGUGUGCCGAGGUGCGGGGAAUCAGGGGGCGGGCGUGCUCGGGAGAGACGGAGAGGCAGCAGGUGGCAGGUCUAGAACUAGGCCCGGGAGGGGGGCGGGGGAGACUGGAGGCUUCUGAAGCCUCUCUGGCAAGUGGCAAGUGGCGCCGCAUCUGCAUCUCUCGGACUGCGGACUGCGGAGCCGCCCUGCACAGCAGCGAUUAGAGACAGCUUCAGCCCAGGGGCUAAGGAACGGGCAAGCGGGAGCUCCAGGCAGAGCCGAGCCGAGGACCCAGGCGAGCCCCUGGAGCGACGGGGUCACGCGGUUGGUGGGUUGGCGCAGGCUGCAGCAGGAGCCUGCUUUGAUGGCGAUGGUGCUGUGAGAUUUUGUUCCCCUCCUGUCUUUCUUCUGGGACUUAUUUUGAUCUGGGCCAUGUCCUCAGCGUUCCCGCUACUUCCUGCACGUCGUCCACUCUGCCUGCCUUCCCUGUCCCUCUUGUCACUGUGUCAUCUCUUCGGCCCCGUCACCCUCCCCUGGGCCGGGGUCCUGCGGUUUGCCGGGCUCAGCUGUGCCUGAGAGUCCUCCAGGAGCAUGACAUGGGCGUUGUUCUCUGAGUUUCCAUAACUUCCGAGCUCUGGAGCCUGACAGCUUGUGUUUGGCAGUUUUGUUGGCUACAGAACCCUUGGGCCACGGGUUUCUUUCCUGUUGUCCACUGUUUUCUCU